GGGACUUGGGGAGCGAGGGAUGCAACAUGGUGCAUCUGGGAGGCCUGCUAACUGGCUAACUUCUCCGGCGUUCCUCCCGGCCGAGGCGUGGGCACAGAAUAGCGGCGGCACCGGCGCCGUUUGAAGACAUCAUUUUCCAGUUUUGGAGCCGACUAAUGAACUAGUUCUUAAGUGAAAGGCAUUUAACACGACUGUGCAUCUACAGGUACUAGGUUUCCAAGAUGCCUUUCCAGACUAAAACCCACACAUGUGAGCCGCUGGCCGGACAAACAUCUGGCACCUAACGUGGGGCUGAAAAACAGCAGAGGACAUUUGGAAGAAACACUGCUGGUUUGGAGCUCCAUAGAAGAAGAAAAUAAUUAAAGGAAAUUCAUACCAGAGAAGGUUUCCAAGAUGCCUUUCCAGACUAAAACCCAGACAUGUGAGCCGCUGGCCGGACACAACAGGAUCUUUUCUAAAAUGAAUUCCUUACAGCCUUGAUUAAUAAGGACGCACCUGCCACAGAUUAUAUAAUAAUCUGAAGCAGGCCGUUUCAGAAUGAUCACCUGCUAGUUAUUAGCUUGUCCCAUUAUGGCUCCUGACAAUUGGGCAAAUCUAAUACACUACUAACUUAUUUCCCAACACUAUGACUCCUUAUUACUUAUGGUUUCUCCUGGACACGAGGUUCUGGUCCAUAUGGCUUC
ensembl:lincRNA